GAGAGAUUUUAGCUUUGCCUCCUUUCCUGCUCUCUUUACCGUACCUCCUUGACGUACCACCCACUUCACCUUGCUUUCGGUGUGCAGAUGAAGUGUGAUCUCUGCUUCCUGUUCCUGCUUCUAUGCCAUCCCUUCCCUGCCAUGAUGGAUGUUGUCCCUCAGAAACCAAAAUCGCCUUCACCCAAUGAGGCAGCUGGUGACAUGUGACAUCCUGACGUGUAGAUGAGGAAACCAAUGUGACAUGACUUGGUGGGAGAUCCACCCGGGGUGAGCAGAGGAGCCGGGAUUUGAACUCAGGCAGUUGGUCCUCAGUGUCGAGGCGCAUAACAGCCACACUCCAUAGGCUUCCUGGAGUAACCAGCAUGGGCAGGUAUGCUCCACAAAUCACAUUACUCAAGCCUCUUCACUUACAUUGGACUAUUGGAAUUUAAGUAGGUGUCUGGAACACUUGGAUGCUCGACCACUCAUCUCUUUGGUUACCCAGUAUAAACCCAGCUGCAGUCAUACAGGAUCCUUGCUCCCAGGUUCGGUCCAUCUUGAUGAGGAAGGCAGAAGAAUGAAAGUCUGAAGUAGCUGCCACGUCAUAUCCACAAUCGGGAAGCAGAAAGAUGUAUGCAAGGCAUGCAAUGAGGGUCGAAGUUCUGCUUUCUUUCUUCACUUACACAGACUGGGACCACAGCUCGGAAGCAGUACAGACACAAUGGCAUCAAUACAAUCAAAACCGUCUGCCUACAUACCCAAAAGUCCAUCUCCAGACUGGACGUCAGCACAUCCUGUAGAAAGCCCAGAGGAUGCAGAAUCAAAGUCUCUGUCAGGAGGGUGGAGGCCUAAACAGGAACCAUCACCCAUUCAUAAGUUUAGAUCUCUCCAGCUUGGAAUUAACAGAGGGGAAAAGCAUCAGACGGAGAAGCGUGGUUUAGCAGCUCGACAUGGGAAGGGAGGUGUCUGUGUGCUGAUGCAGAAGUCGAUGCUCUGGACCCUUGUCUGUGCACAGGCAGGACGCCGCUGUUGUGGUGAGAAGAUGUGAGUCAAGCCUUGGUACAGAAGGACUUAGGAUCUCACCAGGAGGAGGAGGUUCACACCAACUUCUAGAAAAUACCAAAAAGGGGACUGCUUCCUGGCUAAUCCUUAAGACCAGUAUUACCCAAACCAGAUAAGAAUGUCAGAAAAGCCAGCAAUCGCUUGGCUUUAUCUGUGCGUGUAAGUCUGUUUA